rnacentral:lncRNA from 1 species
AAUAAUUUUAUCCAAGUCACUAAAAUUUUAUUAAUUUUUUACACGAAUAAUCAUAGAAAAUGAGUUCAGUUUUAUUUAAUAUUUAUUCAAUUUCAUUAAACCUUUUUAAUUAUUCAAAUUCAUAUCAAUUUGAAUUUUUUCCUCAAAAAAUUCCAACAUUAUUUUAGUUUGAACAUGUGAAGAUUUUUGUCAAAUUCGUACUUGGAAUGCUGGGACGUUUUUAGUGUGUGAUUUUCUGAAAAAAAUAGGAAAAAAGAAGAAGAGUGGGGAAGGAGAAGAUUUUAGAGAGAGAAAUAUUUUUAGUUAUAUGCAUGAUUUGGUAAAAUUAGUGUGAGAUUUAGCAUUUCAAAUUCUAAAAAAGAAAUUGUAUCUAUAAUAAUUUUUGAAAUUAUGUUACCUAGUGUGGCUUGACAUGUAGUGAUCAUUUGGUUGCUCCAGAAGUUGUUUGACGAAACAAUCCUAGUAUCAGAAAUGUUGCAAACAUUAUCAACAACGUUGUAUCAACUAGGUUGAUUGUCCCUAGAGGAGUCAAAGAGGAGCAGCUCGAGAAACAAUCAACCGAGUUGAUACAACAUUUUGUCUGAUACUAGGACGUUUUCCUCGAGCAAUCUGUGUAGCAACCAAAUGAUCACAACAAGUCAAGCCAAGUACACUAGGAAAAAAAAUAUAUUCAAAAAUCACUUUAAAUACAAUUUUUUUUAGAAUAUGAUAGGAUUAAACACGGUCUUGA